rnacentral:lncRNA from 1 species
GUGGCUCCUACCAUGCUGACUGCCCACAAAUCAACUGGGGGUAAAGCACCUAGGAAGCAGCUGGUUACAAAUGCUGCUCACAAGAGUGGGCCUCAUAUUGGAGGGCUAAAGAAACCUCAUCGUUACUGGCCUAGCACUGUGCCACUCCAUGAAAUUAGAUGGUCUCAGAAGUCCACUGAACUUACAACUCAAAACUUCCUUUGCAGCACCUGGUGAGAGAAAUUGCACGGGACAUCAAAACAGAUCUGUGCUUCUAGAGUGCAGCUGUUGGUGCUUUGCAGGAGGCAAGGGAGGCCUACCUGGGCCUUUUUUAAGAUACCAACCUGUGUGCCAUCCAUGCCAGACAUGUAACAAUUAUGCCAAAAGGCAUCCAGCUAGCACGUGGAGAACAG